UACGGGGGGGGGCAAGCGUUGUUCGGAAUUACUGGGCGUAAAGGGCUCGUAGGCGGCCAACUAAGUCAGACGUGAAAUCCCUCGGCUUAACCGGGGGAACGGCGUCUGAUACUGGAUGGCUUGAAUCCGGGAGAGGGAUGCGGAAUUCCAGGUGUAGCGGUGAAAUGCGUAGAUAUCUGGAGGAACACCGGUGGCGAAGGCGCAUCCUGGGACCGGCAUUGACGCUGAGGAGCGAAAGCCAGGGGAGCAAAGCGGG
rnacentral:rRNA from 1 species